AAAAAUGCAUUUUUUUGAAAUCCAUGCCUGUAACUCCAUAGUUAAUAGAUAAAAAAUCCUGAUCCUAUAUAUGGUGCUGUGCUCACAUGAAUGACUAAGGCCAAAAGGUGCCAGCUACAAAACACUAGUGGGAUCUGUGCUAGCCAGGUAACUCGAAUAGUUACCUGGUCAUAACACGCAGAGCUAAACAGCUAUGGAGAAAUGUUUGAACAUAAUUCUUAACUUGACGUUUUGAAAAAUAAACGGAUGCUUCAAGGAUAA